rnacentral:rRNA from 1 species
GAUCCUGGCUCAGAUUGAACGCUGGCGGCAUGCUUUACACAUGCAAGUCGAACGGUAACAGGGAGCUUGCUCCGCUGACGAGUGGCGAACGGGUGAGUAAUGCAUCGGAACGUACCCAGUCGUGGGGGAUAACGUAGCGAAAGUUACGCUAAUACCGCAUACGUCCUGAGGGAGAAAGCGGGGGACCGUAAGGCCUCGCGCGAUUGGAGCGGCCGAUGUCGGAUUAGCUAGUUGGUAGGGUAAAGGCCUACCAAGGCGACGAUCCGUAGCGGGUCUGAGAGGAUGAUCCGCCACACUGGGACUGAGACACGGCCCAGACUCCUACGGGAGGCAGCAGUGGGGAAUUUUGGACAAUGGGCGAAAGCCUGAUCCAGCCAUGCCGCGUGAGUGAAGAAGGCCUCGGUGUAAG